rnacentral:rRNA from 1 species
UACGGAGGGUGCGAGCGUUAAUCGGAAUUACUGGGCGUAAAGGGCGCGUAGGCGGUGAAGUAAGUCGGGUGUGAAAGCCCCGGGCUCAACCUGGGAACUGCAUCCGAUACUGCUUCGCUAGAGUAUGGUAGAGGGAAGCGGAAUUCCGGGUGUAGCGGUGAAAUGCGUAGAUAUCCGGAGGAACACCAGUGGCGAAGGCGGCUUCCUGGACCAAUACUGACGCUGAGGCGCGAAAGCGUGGGGAUCAAACAGG